rnacentral:lncRNA from 1 species
CUCAUACUAUCUUCUCAUACUAUCUUGGUCUUGUUAAAUUGAGGGCUUACGAGGCAUCGGGAGUUGGAUACAAAGAUGCACUUACAACAUUUGCUUCACACGCAACAAGAUUUGUGUUAUGGUUCUCUCUACUUCCUCUAGUUGCCGCUCUCGCUGCUAAGCGAGGGCUCGAUGGCUCCUCCAAAUAAAGACAACAGCCUGUAGCACAUCUUGCUCGUCACAACUUUAAUGUCACCCUGACAACUUUGGAGCUUAGCUGCAUCCAAGUGUCUUAGCCUACUCUACUCUGAUCAUGUUUUAUUAUAACCGACACAUAUAAUUCGCCGUUUCUUAUGUGGUCUA